UGUGCCUGUGGAACACCUUGGCUCUGGGCCCCCACCUGUGUUUGGGCCAAUGCCCUGGCACAGCCUGUCCCCAUGGCCAUGGUGGAGCUGAGCCCCGUCCUGUGGGUUGGCUUUUUGGCCAGCCCUGGCCCAGGCCCAUGAGCCUGGUCUGUCAGUCGGACCCAGCUGUUGUCUCUAUCAGCAGGACGGGCCCUGCCACCCUGGGGAUCCCCUUGGGCCCAGCCCUGCAGGAGCAGCCGCCAUCCUGCUCUCCGUCUUGGAUGCUGGAGUUUCUCCAUGCACUCAGUCUUCAUAACAGGAAUACUGCCCUGAGGAAGGGCUGUGGCUUUUGUCUCUAGUCACUAGUGCAAUGCUGUGAUGUGACCAACAUGCAAGCAGGCAGAUACCAGAGUUAAGAGUCAUGUAGGAGGAAGAAAAACUGGCAGAAGACCUAGAUACGAAGAUUGCCUAGUUCUGUGAGUAAAGACAGAAUUUGCAUUCCUGAGUACAGGAAGACUCUCAGAUCUGUUCAAACCUGCUCUAGACUGAAAAACCCAGACAAACUCCGGAAGCUCACGCCUGUGGCCCACCAGGGCCUGGACCUCAGUAUUUUCCGGCCCUGGAAGAACUGAUAAGAACCUGAGCUAGCCAAGCUACACUACAUGAAAAAGACUUUUUCCUGGAUUUGCCAUUUCAUCAAACA